rnacentral:rRNA from 1 species
UUUGAAAAUAUUGAGGCCACCUGACGGUACCCAAGGAGGAAGCCCCGGCUAACUACGUGCCAGCAGCCGCGGUAAUACGUAGGGGGCAAGCGUUGUCCGGAAUUAUUGGGCGUAAAGGGCGCGUAGGCGGAUGCUUAAGUCCGGUGUGAAAGAUCAGGGCUCAACCCUGAGAGUGCAUCGGAAACUGGGUAUCUUGAGGACAGGAGAGGAAAGUGGAAUUCCACGUGUAGCGGUGAAAUGCGUAGAUAUGUGGAGGAACACCAGUGGCGAAGGCGACUUUCUGGACUGUAACUGACGCUGAGGCGCGAAAGCGUGGGGAGCAAACAGGAUUAGAUACCCUGGUAGUCCACGCCGUAAACGAUGAGUGCUAGGUGUAGAGGGUAUCGACCCCUUCUGUGCCGCAGUUAACACAAUAAGCACUCCGCCUGGGGAGUACGGCCGCAAGGUUGAAACUCAAAUGAAUUGACGG